UCCUACCCCAAAGUUCAUAAUAAUCAUUUUUAAACCCACACGAUAAGAUACAAAUUUAAGUACAAUUACCAAUCUAUUGAAACUGUUUCAAUAGAAAUCCUAUGAAGUCUCUAGAGCUAUUCUGUUUCAAGGAAGAAGAUGCCCAGACACUCCUUGGACAAAUAAAAUCCAUGGAUCCUAGAAUGCACCCUGGUUCGAAAUUAGUUCCUGUUGGUCUUAGCACGUGUGCUAGAUGUAAUUAAGAAGCUAAAGGAAUAUGUAGAAGAUUUGAAUAAAAAUAUAGAGAAGAUUGCUACAAGGGGGUGCGUGUCAAAAUAUGUCUUACCAGAUGAGAACUUUAGAGGGAAGUAUGUCUUUCAAUUUCCAAAUUUGCCCUUAUCUAUUUUUUAAAAUUAGUUUUCAUGCUUUAUGAGGGUGCUGUAAAUAUAAAAGUGGCAGGAACAGAUAUGAACAGCAAGAGCAGCCGGUCACAUAGUGUUUUCACCUACAAGAUGGAAAGUCAUUGGGAAAAGGAUUCCAUGACUCACCUUCGGUUUGGAAGGUUAAAUUUGGUAGACUUGGCGGGUUCUCAAAGGUAAUUUGGUAGCUUAAACCAUUGAGCUAAUUAUGAUGCGAUCCUUUGUUUAUUUGUUUUCAGAGGUCAAGUAUUGCUAUCAACCAAUUAAAAUUUCGUUCACCAAUGGCGUAAUUAAGAUUACAAACACCAAUUUCUUUCAAACAACAGAAGAUCUAGAGUUUAAUUGGGUGAUUAAAGGUGAUUUUGGUUCUUGAAACGAGACUCAAGAUAUCAUAUUUUCGCAUGGCUAGAAGCUUUGGAGGAAAUGACACUCAAGCAAGAGUAAACACACAGAGACUUGUUGGCACAUAGUAAGCUAGAUGAUGCAAUUGUAUAUAAAUGAGUUCAUUUUUUUAUAACAUGAUUUACUCACUUUUGGAAUAAUUAUUUGUAUUUGACAUAUUAGUGA